rnacentral:rRNA from 1 species
UUAAGUUAAUAAGGGCGCACGGUGGAUGCCUUGGCACUAGAAGCCGAUGAAGGACGUGACUAACGACGAAAUGCUUUGGGGAGUUGUAAGUAAACAUUGAUCCAGAGAUGUCCGAAUGGGGGAACCCGGCAUGUGAAGCAUGUCACUCAUUACUGUUAAGGUAAUGAAGAGGAAGACGCAGUGAACUGAAACAUCUAAGUAGCUGCAGGAAGAGAAAGCAAACGCGAUUGCCUUAGUAGCGGCGAGCGAAACGGCAAGAGGGCAAACCGAUGUGUUUACACAUCGGGGUUGUAGGACUGCGUUGUGGGACGCAAGAUUAUAGAAGAAUUACCUGGGAAGGUAAGCCAAAGAGAGUAAUAGCCUCGUAAUCGAAAUAAUCUUAAACCCUAGCAGUAUCCUGAGUACGGCGAGACACGAGAAAUCUCGUCGGAAUCCGGGAGGACCAUCUCCCAACCCUAAAUACUCUCUAGUGACCGAUAGUGAACCAGUACCGUGAGGGAAAGGUGAAAAGCACCCCGGGAGGGGAGUGAAAUAGAACCUGAAACCGUGUGCCUACAACAAGUUCGAGCCCGUUAAUGGGUGAGAGCGUGCCUUUUGUAGAAUGAACCGGCGAGUUACGAUAUGAUGCGAGGUUAAGUUGAAGAGACGGAGCCGUAGGGAAACCGAGUCUUAAUAGGGCGCUUUAGUAUCAUGUCGUAGACCCGAAACCAUGUGACCUACCCAUGAGCAGGGUGAAGGUGAGGUAAAACUCACUGGAGGCCCGAACCAGGGCACGUUGAAAAGUGCUUGGAUGACUUGUGGGUAGCGGAGAAAUUCCAAACGAACUUGGAGAUAGCUGGUUCUCUCCGAAAUAGCUUUAGGGCUAGCGUCGAUGUUAAGUCUCUUGGAGGUAGAGCACUGUUUGAUUGAGGGGUCCAUCCCGGAUUACCAAUAUCAGAUAAACUCCGAAUGCCAAUGAGAUAUAAUCGGCAGUCAGACUGCGAGUGCUAAGAUCCGUAGUCGAAAGGGAAACAGCCCAGACCACCAGCUAAGGUCCCAAAAUAUAUGUUAAGUGGAAAAGGAUGUGGGGUUGCACAGACAACUAGGAUGUUGGCUUAGAAGCAGCCACCAUUUAAAGAGUGCGUAAUAGCUCACUAGUCGAGUGACCCUGCGCCGAAAAUGUACCGGGGCUAAAACAUAUUACCGAAGCUGUGGAUACCUAUUAUAGGUAUGGUAGGAGAGCGUUCUAUGUGUGAAGAAGGUGUACCGUGAGGAGCGCUGGAACGCAUAGAAGUGAGAAUGCCGGUAUGAGUAGCGAAAGACAGGUGAGAAUCCUGUCCACCGUAAGACUAAGGUUUCCAGGGGAAGGCUCGUCCGCCCUGGGUUAGUCGGGACCUAAGGAGAGACCGAAAGGUGUAUCCGAUGGCCAACAGGUUGAUAUUCCUGUACUAGAGUAUAUAGUGAAGGAGGGACGCAGUAGGCUAACUAAAGCGUGCGAUUGGAAGAGCACGUCUAAGCAGUGAGGUGUGAUAUGAGUCAAAUGCUUGUAUCUCUAACAUUGAGCUGUGAUGGGGAGCGAAGUUAAGUAGCGAAGUUAGUGAUGUCACACUGCCAAGAAAAGCUUCUAGCGUUAAUUAUACUCUACCCGUACCGCAAACCGACACAGGUAGUCGAGGCGAGUAGCCUCAGGUGAGCGAGAGAACUCUCGUUAAGGAACUCGGCAAAAUGGCCCCGUAACUUCGGGAGAAGGGGCGCUGGCUUUAAGUCAGCCGCAGUGAAUAGGCCCAAGCAACUGUUUAUCAAAAACACAGCUCUCUGCUAAAUCGUAAGAUGAUGUAUAGGGGGUGACGCCUGCCCGGUGCUGGAAGGUUAAGAGGAGCGCUUAGCGUAAGCGAAGGUGUGAAUUGAAGCCCCAGUAAACGGCGGCCGUAACUAUAACGGUCCUAAGGUAGCGAAAUUCCUUGUCGGGUAAGUUCC